AAGUCGUAACAAGGUUUCCGUAGGUGAACCUGCGGAAGGAUCAUUACAAUACGUUUCCACACGUAAACCAAACGUUGAACUGUACAAGCGUCCGAUAGGAAAUGGGGUUCAUGGGCCGGCGGCUUUGAGGUGGAUACACCAAACACAAAUCAAACUUCGGUUUGAAAGGUGAUCGAAAGUGCCUCGGUCGGUUCUUUUUCCGGUGUUGCUCGAGUUUCGCACUCGCAAAACGGAAAAGCCCUUUUCCUAGUUCGCGUAUUUAUCCAUUCAAACACUUUUGCAUCGCCUUUUUUCCUUUUUAACCCCUUUCACCUUUUUUACUUCAACAUUAUUGAACUGAUUUCGAGCUGCUUAACCGCGCUCGAUCAUUUUUACGAAACGUAAGAACAACUCUUAACAACGAAUAUCUUGGCUCUC
rnacentral:misc_RNA from 1 species